CCUUCAGGCCGACGUUGACCUCCUUUCCGCCAGAGGGCGAUGCAGAGAAAACCCGCAUUUCUCCUGGCGGUGGUACCGAUCUAGACCGCAACCUGCUCAUUCAGUGGCACUUCCGCCGGCGCUCACCAUGUGGAGGGGGUUUCCUGUCUCGUGGCAGCCUUUCCUCAGUGUAGGACGCAGAGUUUCGGGAUUGCAUCUUUCGUGGCUGUCUGUUCUGUCUUAUCCGCCGCCCAGCGCUAGGGCUCCAGGGUGAGUUCACUGCGGGGCGCUGGCCCAUUAGGUGAAGCCAAGGCUCGGAGGCGGUGGAAGACCCCGGCGUCUGUGUCAGGAGCCACCGGUUCCCCAUGGGCCUAGGUCUCCAGAGACUCGCGUGUCCUUGGGAGGAGGUCGCCCAGGGAAAGACGCCCCUCGCAGUCGGCGGCCUAGGGGGCUCCCAGCGCCGUGGACAUUCAGACUCGCCUUUCGGCCUCCUACUCAAGACAUUCGAAGCACGGAAUGUCUUAUCGUUCAUUUACACGGGGUCGGUGUUGUCCUACGUCCGAGAACCAGCCGACUCAUUUCUCUCCACGAUCUUUCGAGGCCAGGGCUAAAAAUCCCCUUUCGUACGGUUUGACUGAGGUUUCGGUUGAGGAUUCUUUCAGGGUCCUAGGGGACAGCGUCGGGACUACCGUCCGCUGCUUUCACUGAGGCUCCUUCCUCUUUCUCCUGCUUAGGCCUUGUUGCAGCGCGGCCACAUGGAGAUGGAUGGAAACUCCCCCGUGGUCGACGCUGCUGGUUCUGCAGCAGCUAGUGGCCCGGCCCUCCCCUCUGCCUGUGCAGAGACCAGAUGGCCCGAUUCUCAGUGUUUGGCACUUACGGAACAAAUGAAAAACAAAAUGGAAAGAAGAGAAGCCCAGUGUUGUAAGGUGUGUCACAUGUCUGCUGGUGAGUGUGUGGGAGAUGUCCUCAGGGUGAACAUGGAUGGUGAUGUCUCAGGUCUGUGCCAGAUGCUGCCAGCGAAGUAG
rnacentral:lncRNA from 1 species